rnacentral:tRNA from 1 species
GGUGCCGUAGUAUAGUGGUCUAUACACAAGAUUUCAAUCUGAUCUAUUGCAGAUAUUCGUCUUGUCCCUCCGGGGGCGUCCGUUCGAAUCGGACCGGCACCG